UAAGUACUCCCUCUGUCCCAAAAUUCUUGUCUUAAAUUUGUCUACAUAUGUAUGUAUCUAGUCACGUUUUAGUAUUUAGAUACAUCCAUGUCUAGACAAACCUAAGACAAGAAUUUUGAGACUGAGGGAGUACCAA
rfam:Hordeum vulgare subsp. vulgare, WGS project CAJW01000000 data, contig: morex_contig_42354